UAGGGAAUCUUCGGCAAUGGACGGAAGUCUGACCGAGCAACGCCGCGUGAGUGAAGAAGGUUUUCGGAUCGUAAAGCUCUGUUGUAAGAGAAGAACGAGUGUGAGAGUGGAAAGUUCACACUGUGACGGUAUCUUACCAGAAAGGGACGGCUAACUACGUGCCAGCAGCCGCGGUAAUACGUAGGUCCCGAGCGUUGUCCGGAUUUAUUGGGCGUAAAGCGAGCGCAGGCGGUUAGAUAAGUUUGAAGUUAAAGGCUGUGGCUUAACCAUAGUAGGCUUUGGAAACUGUUUAACUUGAGUGCAAGAGGGGAGAGUGGAAUUCCAUGUGUAGCGGUGAAAUGCGUAGAUAUAUGGAGGAACACCGGUGGCGAAAGCGGCUCUCUGGCUUGUAACUGACGCUGAGGCUCGAAAGCGUGGGGAGCAAACAGGAUUAGAUACCCUGGUAGUCCACGCUGUAAACGAUGAGUGCUAGGUGUUAGACCCUUUCCGGGGUUUAGUGCCGUAGCUAACGCAUUAAGCACUCCGCCUGGGGAGUACGGCCGCAAGGUUA
rnacentral:rRNA from 1 species